GAGAGAGAGAGAGAGAGAGAGAGAGAGCACCCCAUGCGAAUGGCUAUCUCUGUAUCUGUCAAUGAUCGGAUCACUGAGUAACAAAUAGAUAUACCCGCACUUCCUGUAUGGAUCAGCCAACUAACUCAAUGAUAAUUGCUCCGUCUCUAAGCAGUUUGAAUCUAUAAAUAGAAUAACAAAAGGAAGGAAACGAAAUUUUAACCUGAUUUCCGCCAUUAAAAAAAGUAACAUGAAACCUACAGUUCACGACACAUCGCAUAGGAAUUUAAAAUAAAUAUUAGGCCUAUAGGUUUAAUACAUAUUGCAUAGAAUAUAGAAAUUUAGAUCUAGUGUUCUGGUUAGUAGUUAUUUCAUGUUUAUUAGAUUAUAGUCUAGAAUCUAAUCAUACGGCUGCAUAAAAAGAAAGUUUGAAGGAAAUAGAAUAGGAAUCUAGUUCUAGAGAAGCGGAGUGUUUUCCGCACUCGAGAGGAAAGAGGUUGCAGGGAACUUAGAGACUAAUCUUUGCCAACAUACUGGAUUUCUGGUGAUGACAAUAGCAGCAGAUAGUAUGCGGCUCAGUUAAUACUAAAAACAAUUGAUUUUACUAAUUAGUGGACUAUGAGUGUGUGUUUGGCCAUCCUGAUUUCAUAACUACAACUGAUGUUCAAUUACAAGGGAUAUUAAUCAGUCUCCGUGGACUAUACACUGUGCCUAGUUUCAUCCUCAGAGACUGAUGUGUAAGCUUAAAGUAAAGACAUCAAAUCAAAGUAUCAGCCAUCAAGAGGAAAAACAUUCAAAAUCAUAUUGUGAUACACAAGUCAAGCAAGUCUGACCAGCAUUUUGAUACAGGCCAAGAAAAAGCUGGAUACUUGAUUGGAAGGGUUGCACAAAAAACAUGGGUUAUCACUAGGGAAACAAGCUCGCAAUACAGUUCACUGUUAGGACAGCAAGCCAAAUACUUCUAAACUUAUUUGAAUCA